rnacentral:sRNA from 1 species
AACUAUCUGAAGCCGAGUCCGGUGCACAGACAAAGUGCCGGUACGGGGGACGAUUUACUUGGGGUGAAUAUUUGCUCUUGAAGGAGAGCAGACUAGGGAGAACCUUCUUCCCGAACCCGUCAACUAACCUCGAAGGCUCAAAUGAAGGAGGCU